rnacentral:rRNA from 1 species
AUGACCCAUGAGCAGAUCCUGGAUGUGCAGCACCAGGCCGGAUGGCACCCACCCGGGUUUGGACUCGCCCCCCAGCACGGCAAUGGUCCUGCUCAGCUGGUUCCUGCUGCGAUCCAGCACCAGAUCCAGGCACACAUUCAGCCGCAUGCGCAGGCGCAAAUGCAGCCGCAGCCGCAUAUCCAGGCUCCGAUGCAGCAGCUCCCCCCGGCGGGCAACAAUAUGGUAGCUGACGCUGGAAGGCCUGCUGCCGGAGUCGGAGCAGCUUAUGGCGCACAAGGCCUAGCUGCAGUCGCCGUUCUUAUGGCAGCAGUCAACAUCAUUCUUACUGUUCUGGUGCUAAUGGUUGUGUUAGCUAAGUAA